rnacentral:tRNA from 1 species
UGGGGUUUUGGCUCAAUGGUAGAGCACUCGCCUGGCAUGUGUGAGGCACUGGUUUCAAUUCUCAGCACCACAU